UACGGGGGGGGCAAGCGUUGUUCGGAAUUACUGGGCGUAAAGGGCGCGUAGGCGGCCUUCUAAGUCAGACGUGAAAUCCCCCGGCUUAACCUGGGAACUGCGUCUGAUACUGGAGGGCUUGAGUGCGGGAGAGGGAUGUGGAAUUCCAGGUGUAGCGGUGAAAUGCGUAGAUAUCUGGAGGAACACCGGUGGCGAAGGCGACAUCCUGGACCGGUAUUGACGCUGAGGCGCGAAAGCCAGGGGAGCAAACGGG
rnacentral:rRNA from 1 species